rnacentral:lncRNA from 1 species
CUAGAAAGUAUUAAGUAAGGGACUUACUGUUAGGUAUGUUCUAGGACUAAUAUGAUAUUGAGGGAAACCAGUUCACUUUUCUCAGCUAUGCUUCUACUACAGAUAGGUGGAACAUCUACAAAUAUGUAAUACUAAAAAAUUCAUAUCCAAGCUCAAAACUAGGAAAGGUUGUCCUUAUAUCCUAAAAAUGAAGGUGGAACUUAAAUCUAGAAAAAUAAUCUAGAAAAAUAAGCUUUAGCUUCCUAUGCAGGAAAACUCGCACCAACACAUACACAGUGACACACAGAGGCACACACAGGCAGACACACACAGUCAUACACACAGACACACAUGCAGACACACCCACAAGCACACACAGACAUACACACAAACACACACACAGACACACUGGCAUGCACAGGCACACACAAACAGGCAUACACACUGACAUACACAGGCACACACAGGCAUACACACAGACACACACAUAGACACACAGGAAUACACAGGCACACACACACACAGGUAUACACACAGACACACACAGGCAUACACAUAGACACACAUACAGGCACAGACAGGAACACACAGACACAUACAUAGCAGGACACAUGCAUACACACGAGAAUGCUUGGGCACACACACAGUCGUUAUGGGUGGAAAGGAGGACAAUGGAUAUUUAUUAGAAAAGAAGAUUUAUUAGAAAAGAAGAUGGAUGGAGAAGUAGGUAGUAUAUUUAAAUUGAUAAUUUAUAAUGGGAAAAUAGAUGCCCAAAAUUGAAGACAAUUGUGUAAUACAAAAUCUUGAGUAGAAUCAGAAACAAGCUUUAUUUGUUAUGGACACAGUAUAGUGAAUUUUCUUAGCAUCAAAUGCCACAGAAUUUUCAAUACCAUCAGAGAGAAAAUAAAUAUUCCCAAAAUCAUAAGAUAAUAUAUUACAUCAGACUCUCAUUAGCAAUGAGAGAUGCCAGUAGACAGUGUAUUUUAUGUGUUGAAAUUGGUGGAGGAGAAUAAUGAUAAAACUAAAAUUCUAUAUCCAUAUGAAUCAGAUUCAUGACAAAAGGUGAACUAAAGGUACUUUAGAGAGAGGCUGAAUUUACUUU